rnacentral:rRNA from 1 species
CCCUUAGAUGUUCUGGGCGGCCCGCGCACUACAUUGGCACUAGCGAAGAGAUCCUAGAUUGAAUUCUUUGGGGUAUUCUUCUAAAUGGUGUCGUGACUGGGAUAAAUCCUUGUAAUUAUUGGUUUUGAACGAGGAAUUCCUUGUAAUCGCGGUUUAUCAGCUCGCGUUGAAUGCGUCCCUGCCCUUUGUACACACCGCCCGUCGCUCCUACCGAUGGAUCGUCCGGUGAAGCUCACGGAGUGACUGUUCACGCAACGGUUUACGAAGUGAAAUGGACCUCACGAUUUAGAGGAAGGAGAAGUCGUAACA